rnacentral:pre_miRNA from 1 species
UUGGAGCUCUUUAUGUCACGAUGUAUGACUCUUUGUUACUGGUUCCAAAGGAUUAUGAAGGUAGUCUAGCCCACAGACAACAUAAAUGCAUAUCUUGAGACAUCAGUUCACAUGAGACUCGUGCCUCCAACAAUGGAUUGUUCGAGUCUCACGUGAGAACCCGAUGUCUCAAGAUAGGUGUUGGUGUUGUGCGUGGGUUAGCUUAUCAUCAUAAUCCUUUGUCAUCGCAACAAGGAGUCAUGCAUGGUGAUAUAAAUAGCCCUAACA